rnacentral:misc_RNA from 1 species
GAUGAAGAACGCAGCGAAAUGCGAUGAGUAAUGUGAAUUGCAGAAUUCAGUGAAUCAUCGAAUCUUUGAACGCACAUUGCGCUCGCCAGUAUUCUGGCGGGCAUGCCUGUCUGAGCGUCAUUUCAACCCUCAUGCCCCUAGGGCGUGGUGUUGGGGAUCGGCCAAAGCCCGCGAGGGACGGCCGGCCCCUAAAUCUAGUGGCGGACCCGUCGUGGCCUCCUCUGCGAAGUAGUGAUAUUCCGCAUCGGAGAGCGACGAGCCCCUGCCGUUAAACCCCCAACUUUCCAAGGUUGACCUCAGAUCAGGUAGGAAUACCCGCUGAACUUAAGCAUAUCAAUAAGCGGAGGA